UUGGAGGGCAAGUCUGGUGCCAGCAGCCGCGGUAAUUCCAGCUCCAAUAGCGUAUAUUAAAGUUGUUGCAGUUAAAAAGCUCGUAGUUGAAUUUCGGGAUCAAUGUUUCGGUCAUGCCGUUGGUAUGUACUGAUAUUAUUGAUUUCUCACCUUCUAAAGAACCGUAAUGCCAUUAAUUUGGUGUCACGGGGAAUUAGGACUGUUACCUUGAAAAAAUUAGAGUGUUUAAAGCAGGCUCACGCUUGAAUACAUUAGCAUGGAAUAAUGAAAUAGGACAUCCGAUUCUAUUUUGUUGGUUUCUAGGAUCGAUGUAAUGAUUAAUAGGGAUAGUUGGGGGCAUUAGUAUUCAAUUGUCAGAGGUGAAAUUCUUGGAUUUAUUGAAGACUAACUUCUGCGAAAGCAUUUGCCAAGGAUGUUUUCAUUAAUCAAGAACGAAAGUUAGGGGAUCGAAGACGAUCAGAUACCGUCGUAGUCUUAACCAUAAACUAUGCCGACUAGGGAUCGGAUGAUGUUAAAUUUUUAAUGACUCAUUCGGCGCCUUACGGGAAAC
rnacentral:rRNA from 1 species